rnacentral:rRNA from 1 species
UCCUGAGUACGGCGGAACACGUGAAAUUCCGUCGGAAUCCGGGAGGACCAUCUCCCAAGGCUAAAUACUCCCUAGUGACCGAUAGUGAACCAGUACCGUGAGGGAAAGGUGAAAAGCACCCCGGAAGGGGAGUGAAACAGUUCCUGAAACCGUGUGCCUACAAGUAGUUAGAGCCCGUUAAUGGGUGAUAGCGUGCCUUUUGUAGAAUGAACCGGCGAGUUACGAUUUGUUGCAAGGUUAAGCGGAAAAAGCGGAGCCGUAGCGAAAGCGAGUCUGAAUAGGGCGCAUAAGUAACAGGUCGUAGACCCGAAACCAGGUGAUCUACCCAUGUCCAGGAUGAAGGUAAGGUAAUACUUACUGGAGGUCCGAACCCACGCACGUUGAAAAGUGCGGGGAUGAGGUGUGGGUAGCGGAGAAAUUCCAAUCGAACUUGGAGAUAGCUGGUUCUCUCCGAAAUAGCUUUAGGGCUAGCCUCGAGGUAAAGAGUCAUGGAGGUAGAGCACUGUUUGGACUAGGGGCCCUUCUCGGGUUACCGAAUUCAGAUAAACUCCGAAUGCCAUGUACUUAUACUCGGGAGUCAGACUGCGAGUGAUAAGAUCCGUAGUCGAAAGGGAAACAGCCCAGACCACCAGUUAAGGUCCCCAAAUAUAUGUUAAGUGGAAAAGGAUGUGGGGUUGCUUAGACAACCAGGAUGUUGGCUUAGAAGCAGCCACCAUUGAAAGAGUGCGUAAUAGCUCACUGGUCGAGUGACCCCGCGCCGAAAAUGUACCGGGGCUAAACAUAUUACCGAAACUGUGGAUGAACCUCUUUAGAGGUUCGUGGUAGGAGAGCGUUCUAAGGGCGGUGAAGUCAGACCGGAAGGACUGGUGGAGCGCUUAGAAGUGAGAAUGCCGGUAUGAGUAGCGAAAGAAGGGUGAGAAUCCCUUCCACCGAAUAUCUAAGGUUUCCUGAGGAAGGCUCGUCCGCUCAGGGUUAGUCGGGACCUAAGCCGAGGCCGAUAGGCGUAGGCGAUGGACAACAGGUAGAGAUUCCUGUACCAGUGCUAAUUGUUUAACCGAUGGGGUGACACAGAAGGAUAGGGAAUCGCACGAAUGGAAAUGUGCGUCCAAGCAGUGAGUGUGAGAAGUAGGCAAAUCCGCUUCUCGCGAAGCAUGAGCUGUGAUGGGGAAGGAAAUUAAGUACGGAAGUUCCUGAUUUCACGCUGUCAAGAAAAGCCUCUAGGAAGAGUAGUACUGCCCGUACCGCAAACCGACACAGGUAGAUGAGGAGAGAAUCCUAAGGUGAGCGAGAGAACUCUCGUUAAGGAACUCGGCAAAAUGACCCCGUAACUUCGGGAGAAGGGGUGCUCUAUUAGGGUGCAAGCCCGAGAGAGCCGCAGUGAAUAGGCCCAGGCGACUGUUUAGCAAAAACACAGGUCUCUGCAAAACCGUAAGGUGACGUAUAGGGGCUGACGCCUGCCCGGUGCUGGAAGGUUAAGAGGAGUGCUUAGCUUCGGCGAAGGUACGAAUUGAAGCCCCAGUAAACGGCGGCCGUAACUAUAACGGUCCUAAGGUAGCGAAAUUCCUUGUCGGGUAAGUUCCGACCCGCACGAAAGGCGCAACGAUCUGGGCACUGUCUCAACGAGAGACUCGGUGAAAUUAUAGUACCUGUGAAGAUGCAGGUUACCCGCGACAGGACGGAAAGACCCCGUGGAGCUUUACUGCAACCUGAUAUGGAAUGUUUGUACCGCUUGUACAGGAUAGGUAGGAGCCGAAGAGACGUGUGCGCUAGCAUACGAGGAGGCAAUGGUGGGAUACUACCCUGGCUGUAUGACCAUUCUAACCCGCCACGCUUAGCGCGUGGGGAGACAGUGUCAGGUGGGCAGUUUGACUGGGGCGGUCGCCUCCUAAAGAGUAACGGAGGCGCCCAAAGGUUCCCUCAGAAUGGAUGGAAAUCAUUCGCAGAGUGUAAAGGCACAAGGGAGCUUGACUG